rnacentral:lncRNA from 1 species
CACAGUUUGACAUCAAGAGGAAUGCAAACAGAUGCUUUAUUUUUAGCAUAGUUAUUCUCUCAGGUUGGUGCUAUCUUUCAUCUUGGCUCAAUGAGGUGGGCUUAAAUCUACCUUUCUUCAUGCAGACGCCUGUGUCAGUGCUUGCAGAAUCUCUGCCCUUGUUUGGAAGAAGAGUGCUUUCUGUGAGACUAGGACGUAGUGAAUUGAAGCUUAAGGCUUGUGAUGUACCUACAUCAUGUCUAUUUCAGAGCCUCAGAAAAGGGUGCUCCAGCUUUUUUUGGAAGAGGAUAGAUUCCGUAAGCAUGGCUGUGGACACAGCAUACAGGUAUUCUGCAUUUCUGCCUCUGUGGAGCCAAAAGAGCGUCAGAUUGCCACAUUGCAGUUCAGGGGCUGCUUUUUCGUGGCGUUCCCUCUGCAAGGUACUGCACAGAGUGAAUGUAUGUGGCAGAGGACCAGACUUGAUAUCCCAUGGACAUUUAUGCAUGAAGAUGAACUAUCUCCCAAGUGAUCUGAAAUCUUCACUGGAGCUAAGCUGUCGGCUAAAUGUUAUACCUCUGCACUUUUCGUUUCAGGUCUUGGAUAUUUUGAUCUCUUCCUCUGGACAGCGUUAAGGAUAAAAGAUGUUGAAUUCUGUGACAAGACUUGGCAUGUAUUACAAACCCAUUCCAUUUAAUCUUCAGGUAUUUACUUUGGAAGGCAGAUAGACAUCUCUAUUCUUUUGAAGUUUCCUAUAUUUUGAUAGUCCUGUCUGUCUCACUUCUGU